CUUAUGUGUACAACGUGGUGCUUUGUUGAAUAAAACGGAAACCAACCAACCAGAAUAUAGUCAUGUCUUUAAUUUCACAUUUCAAUAUUAUAUCACCUCGUUCAUGGAGGUAAUAGACAUUUAGGGAGGCAGAGUAUGACAGUAUGAAAACAUAACAAUGUAAAAAUAAAAAGAACAAGUUUAAUGUGUACUCAAUUUCCAGGGGCUUCCUCUACAUGAAGCAGAGCCGUCCUGAGCCUCCAUUACAGGAACUCAGUGCCAGAGUGAACUUCUCCCCUGGCUACUAUUUCAAAGUUGUCAAAGUUUGAAGUCGUUUGACUCAUUUCGAUUCCAGACCGAAGCCGUAUCUAUGUAUGCUUAUGUGUACAAGGUGGUGCUUUGUUGAAUAAAACGGAAACAAACCAACCAGAAUAUAAUAAAAAAAUGUAUUUCAUUUCACAUUUCAAUAUUGUAUCACACUGCAUACUAGUCAUGUUCGGAAAAAAUAAUAAUAAUAAAAAUAAAAACUGAGAAACAACCUCGGUUGGAAAAAACGGUAUAACGGUCUCGGGAUAUAACGCGCCCUAAAACGUCGGUUAUAACGGUCUCGGUCGGAUAUAACGCGCCGGCUGGAUAAAACGACCUCGGUUGGAUAAAACCGUGGAUGUAAGUGAAUGGAAAUACAAGUCACUAUAUAACCAGCACUACUCACUGACACUCUGCGCUGUAAAACGAGACCAGAAGGGAGCUGCCAACCAUCAUCAUCAGAACAAAUCAGCCAGAAACACUCCGAUUGACUGCUGCUGAGGCUUGAACACUGCCAGAGAGAACUGCGUUGAUUAUGAAGGGGAAAGGUGUAAUGACUGUUUUCCUACUUGCACUUGUUGCAAAAUCCUCCGUGUCUCUUCCGAUCACUAUAACCGUGAUGUUGAAUCACCCAGUUACACCGCCCUGCUCUGGAUCAUGCCAUGGUGUCAGAAAUAAGACGGGAAGGAAAGAUCCAUAGAAUAAAUGGAACAUUCUGCCCUCACUCCGUGGAUCCAAGACCAAGAAAACACAUCCCAUCAGGAAAAAACACUGGCAUGUCACGCUCUGCUCUGCCGUCGCUGCCAGCCACCAGCAAGACUGAUACACACUUCAUCGGCGUCUCUCUACUUCCACCGUGCGAUAGUCUCGGCUCUCAUUGUGAACUUCACCCCUAACACACCAGCAUAGCUGAGGGGGGAGAGAGAUUCGGAAGAAAUGCUGAGCUCCUCUGCAGCACAGCCCAUUGAAAUCCUACGAGGCCGCCUACAAAUGACACGUCACAUUGCAUCAACCAAUGGUUGUGUGCCAUGUCACUGACAAUAAUAAAAUAUAUCUUUCAUGCAGAACUCUCCGUCUUCAGUCAUUCAAAUAAUAUGUUUAGAUAUUAAGGAGGCUGUAUGUUUGUAUUAUCACAGCACUAUAAUAAAAGGGGGGUCCUCAGAAUCCAUUGUGAGACUAAAAACGUCAUAAGUGUCGUCAAUAACAACGACGAGACAGCCUAUAGACAGACAAGAAGCGCAGUGUCUAACAGCGAUGUGCAGCGGAAACAACCUGGAGCUGAACACGACGUCAUAGAGGAUUUUAUAAAGGUUUUAUUUGUUCCCUGUGACUGUUAUACUGUCUACCUCUGUGUACUAUGUAGACCUACUAUAUGUGAGAGAGCUCCAAAUAAUAAUUCCAAUAUAUUACUUUUAAUAGGUACUUGCAAAUGGCAAAUAUACUACUUGAAUAAAAAUGGAUUAAACUACUUGAAUAAAAUGUAGAAAAGCUUCUGAUUGAGUUUGGAACUGUCAGAUAAUUUCUGUAGCACAGAAAUAUAGCGAUAGUAAACUAUAGCGUAAUGAAACAGGCAGGGAGCGGGACUCGA
ensembl:lncRNA